AUGAAUAAAGUUCCUGAUUUUAAUUCAAAAAAGGGGCACAAAACUUGUGUGUUUUCGACAAAAAAUCUACAUGUGCACAAGGAGCAUGGACAUGAACAUGUGUCACUUUUUUUUUCCAGAACAUAUCUAGUGAUCAACCCUCAAUUGCUUGGGGAAAUGGUGUUUUCGCCUACUUGUUAUCAGUUGGAUCAGGUAAACUUGCAGCAAGAAAUGUAUGGAAGAGUUAGUAAUGGUUUAACCAAAAGUCCUACAUUAUUGGAAGCUUGGUGUCAAAUUCUCAAAAGAAAAAACAAAAGCAAAACCACUCGAAAAAUCCUCAAAAGAAAAAAGACGAAAAGAGGAACCUUUACAAACAUGUUCCCUGCAAGCCUGCAUUUUAUUUUAUAA
rnacentral:rRNA from 1 species